CAGCUGCAGCUUUUUUCUCCCUAUCUCUUUUUUAAUUAGACUGACAGCUGCAGUUAGCUAAUAUGAGUUUUACGUUGUGUGCCAGAAAGCUAGCAAACUUUUCGGACGAAGGAUGAAACAGUUUGAAGCAAACAAGUGGCCAAGUGUUGAGUCACUCAACUGUGGUUCCUGGGACUUGAAUUUCUGAUGAUGAUGUCAUCGUAUGUGGAGAAAUGAACCAGAUCUCACCUAGAGUAGAGAUGGAUGUCAAAACGCCUUAAGAUGGAUUCAAAUAGGCUUGUGUGAGGAUGGUGUGAGGAGCUUCGUCAAUAUGCCACUAGAGGGCGACAU